UGGAGAACUGGAAACGGAAAACU
rnacentral:piRNA from 1 species